UGAGGAAUAUUGGUCAAUGGUCGAGAGACUGAACCAGCCAAAUCGCGUGAAGGAAGAAGGUUCUAUGGAUUGUAAACUUCUUUUGUGCAGGAAUAAAGUGCUCUACGUGUAGAGUUUUGUAUGUACUGUACGAAUAAGCACCGGCUAACUCCGUGCCAGCAGCCGCGGUAAUACGGAGGGUGCAAGCGUUAUCCGGAUUUAUUGGGUUUAAAGGGUGCGUAGGCGGCCUGUUAAGUCAGUGGUGAAAUCCCAUAGCUCAACUAUGGAAUUGCCAUCGAAACUGGCGGGCUUGAGUGUAAAUGAGGUAGGCGGAAUGUGUAGUGUAGCGGUGAAAUGCUUAGAUAUUACACAGAACACCAAUUGCGAAGGCAGCUUACUGGGAUACAACUGACGCUGAGGCACGAAAGCGUGGGGAUCAAACA
rnacentral:rRNA from 1 species